UUACCUUCAAUGUUUUUAAGGUUAUUAAACAUUCCAAUGAUAAUCAAAUUUAUUUUCGAAUUGAUGAUAUUGAUAAAUUAGUUCAUGAGUAUUUUGUAGAAAAUAGAUUUGAGGAUCUUAUUGAGGCUUGCAUUGUCCAAUCAAAAGAGGGUUUAACUGAAGAUGAAAGGCAAUUGGAGUGCAUACGAUUGUUGGAGGCCAGAUCACACAUUCUACGAGCAUACAGAUCAUAUUUUGAAGAGUUAGAAAGAUCAUGUACUCCUCUCUCAAAGCCAUCA
rnacentral:lncRNA from 1 species